rnacentral:rRNA from 1 species
AACGAACGCUGGCGGCAUGCCUAACACAUGCAAGUCGAACGAAGUCUUCGGACUUAGUGGCGCACGGGUGCGUAACGCGUGGGAAUCUGCCCUUGGGUGCGGAAUAACUUCUCGAAAGGAAUGCUAAUACCGCAUAAUGUCGUAAGACCAAAGAUUUAUCGCCCAAGGAUGAGCCCGCGUAAGAUUAGCUAGUUGGUGGGGUAAAAGCCUACCAAGGCGACGAUCUUUAGCUGGUCUGAGAGGAUGAUCAGCCACACUGGGACUGAGACACGGCCCAGACUCCUACGGGAGGCAGCAGUGGGGAAUAUUGGACAAUGGGCGAAAGCCUGAUCCAGCAAUGCCGCGUGAGUGAUGAAGGCCCUAGGGUUGUAAAGCUCUUUUACCAGGGAUGAUAAUGACAGUACCGGGAGAAUAAGCACCGGCUAACUCCGUGCCAGCAGCCGCGGUAAU